UCUUCAAGCUAGCUCAGUCGGUAGAGCAUGAGAAUCUCAAUCUCAAGAUCCUGGGUUCAAGACCCAUGUUGGAGAG